GACAAUGCGCUGUAAGCGGGUGUGGUAAUAUGGAGGGGGAAAGAGUUAUUGGGAGUUACUUAGUGUAAGGGGUCCGCAGGUGGGGAGGGAAGUCCGUGGUGAAAUACCCGGGCGCAACUUGGGUGCUGCCAUUGAUACUGCUUUUCUUGAGUGUAGAUGAGGUGGGCGGAAUACAGCAUGUAGCGGUGAAAUGCGUAGAUAUGCUGUAGAACACCGAUUGCGAAGGCAGCUCACUAAACUACUACUGACACUCAGGGACGAAAGCGUGGGGAUCAAACAGGAUUAGAUACCCCUGUAGUC
rnacentral:rRNA from 1 species